rnacentral:lncRNA from 1 species
AUCACUCAAGUGCAGUGCCUUGCCUCGCAUCCUGUAUCGUGACGAUGGUGGACGAAGGGGGAUAGCUGAGGCUGAACUGUGGCUGUUUAUAACGACAAACAAGUUGACAGCACCCUGAAAGAAAGGCACGGACUUCAAGGCGAUAGAAAAGUACUAAGUCUUGCCAAUCUGGGUAUCAAAAUACAUUGUAAACUUUUACGAAUUACUUCUUUGCCAACAGCCAAAAUAUGAGUGAGUACAUCUGGAUAAAAUACAAAACAUGAAAAUAUCUGAAAGUAUAUGUAAUAUACUAGAAUACUUUCUAAAUGUUGCACAGAACUUACCAUCAAAUCAUCUAUUUGAAGAGUGAGUCUUAAGUAGCUGAACCUUAAGCUGCAGAGUAAGUACAACUUCUCUGCAUCCUCAAAAUUUUGUAGCUCUGAAAUAUAUUUCAUUUCUUGUUAAAUUAAGUUCCUUCUCUUACCAGAAGCACAAAUAUUUUUUCCUAUGUUCAUAUGUUACUUGAGCAUCUGGAAAAAGAGUACGUUGUCCAAUGUAAGUCAUUUUGGCUUUAGCAAACUGAAGGCCAUGCAUUCAAUCCUCAGCACCAGAAUUAAAUAAAUAAAUAAAUAAAUAAAAGAUUUUUUAAAAGCUGGGAAAAAUGGAAGUCUUCUUUUCAGUUCUUUCUUUCUUAGGAAUGUUCUUGCCAAUAUAAAAUGUAUAAAGAGGCAUUUGUGUUUUCUUCUAGUACAUUACUAUGUAGAAGCAAGGGGAACUUUUCAUCUGUGCUUAUAGAUAUUAUUACAUUUCUUAUAGAUAUGUUUUAUUACAUACAUGCAAUUAUAGGUUACUAAUUCUGUGGCAUGCUGAUAAAAAAGAGAACAAGUAAUAAAAGAUUAUUACUACUGCCAAAUUAUUGCUUUCCUUCAUAAUUUUUGCUUUAAAAAACUGAACUCAAGUAUACUUAUCUGUUCUUUUAUUUUAUUCAUUUAUACCCAUACUCUGAAUACCUAGGAUGUAAUUGACAUAAUGACUCUUAAGACUCUUCCUUAAAAGCUUUAUGUUUGAUUAAUCAGAAAUUUAAAACUUCAGAGAUAGGACUCAAUUUCAAGUAAAACUUUUCCUCUUCCAUUUCAAACAGAAGCACUCUGGUGGUAGGAAAUUAUGAACUGCCCAUUUUAAAAGUUAAGACAGUGUUAAAAACUGAACAUUGGAAAUACCUGAUUUAUGUAUAUCCUGUAAAUCUAAAUAUUGAAUAGAUUGAACCAUGCUAAUUCAUUUGAGUCCUACAUUUCCUUUAGCUUUAAAUUACUUUAAAAAAAGAAAAGCAAGGAUUACUAUGGUUUUAAUUUGGUCUUUUAUUAUUGUUUUAUCGUUCAUCUCUCCUUACCUAUAGUAUUUUUAACAACUAAAAUUAAUUUAAAUGCCACUCAUAUGACUAUAACCACUGUAGACCUCUUGUGUGUAUCACAUUUCACUUAAGGUAAGGUACUGUGUGAUGGUCCUUUAUUUCAUGUAUGAAUAAAAAAAUUGAAUGCUGCCAUUAUACAUGUAGUGGCUUUCCAAUGUCAGUGAUGUCAAAAUGAUAGAAAAAAAGAGCAUCUAAGACUCAUUGAAAUACAUAGUCCCUACAAGAUAUUUGUAAAAUCACUAUAAUAGGACUUCUUCAUUAAGUGAAAUACUCUGUUGAUUCAUAGUAAUAGUAAUAAUUACAAUAGCCAACAAUUAAUGAGCUGUUGCUUGUGGUAGAAACUGUUCAAACAUUUUACAUAGAUUUUAAUUUUAAGCAUCACACUAUCAUCCCAGUAGGUAACUACUAAUUUAAAUCAGUAUUUUAUUGGAGAUAAAAAUUGAUGGAUAGGAGAACUAAAUAGCAUGUCACAGAGGUUAAAGUAGAAUUCAAGCAAAUGUUGAGCUAAAUUCAAGGUCUAUGCUCUUUCUAGGCAAGUAGAACACUCUGGGAUGGGAUAUAGCUCCAUGGUAGAGACUUUAUCUAGGAGGCUCCAGGUCGUGGUUUCUAUGCCAGCACCUAAAAAACCAAAAUAAUCAAAAAUAAAAGAUCAAUGGGUCCAGACCCAGUAGCUUAUGCCUAUAUUUCUAGUUACUUGGGAGAAUGAAGCAGAAGCAUUGCAAGUUCAAUGACAGCCUGGGAAACUUAUGGAGACUCUGCCUCAAAAUUGAAAAAAAAAAUCAUAAUAAUAAAAAUGGGCUUAGGAUAUUGCUCCUGGAUUAAGUGCUCCUGGCUUCAGUCCAUAGCAGUAUCCAAAAAAGACAAAAGAAAAGGUCAACAGAAUAGGCUGCUCAUUUAUUAACUUAGUGUGUACUAACAGCUAGUAAAUAUUAUACUUUCUUUAGAAAAUAAUAGAGGAUUUGCAUACUAUUUAAUGUUGAUAAUUGCAUAAAUAAUCAUGUAUUUUGAGAGGAUGCUUUAUGAACUUCUAACAAAGCCUCUUGCCUUCAUAGGACUGCUCUACAUUAUGC